CAUCCGCUUCAGGGUAUUGUGUAAUUCAUAACCGGUGGUAAUAGUCCACGAGCUGCCAGAUUGGUAAGCUGAUUCGGUGUAAGUCCGAAACCGACGGUAUAGUCCGGAUGAAAGAAGAUGAUG
rfam:Ruminococcus sp. CAG:403 genomic scaffold, scf180